rfam:Schistosoma mansoni strain Puerto Rico chromosome 4, complete genome
AUUCAAUUGACAAGUCCCAAAUAGGACGAAACGUGCGUCCUGGAU